ensembl:lncRNA
CUGACGCGAUCAUGUGACUGUGUGUGUCCAGACCUGCUUCCCCAUCGUCCUCCACUACCUGACGCUCAUACGCAACGUCUCCAUGGGAAUCGUCUUCGCGCUCGCCGCCCUGGCGCUGCUCGGCAUGGCGCUGUCCUCCACCAUCAUCCACCAGAUGCGUUACCCGGGCCGCUCCACCCUCAUGAUGACGGUGCCGUCCAUCUUCACCUUGCCUCCACCCAAAUACCAGGAGCUGCACAACCCCCCCGGGUACUAGAGGGGGGGCUUUCUGUCUCAGGGGCUGGUUUGGGCCGAUUGGGUCCUCGGAUGCCAAAGUGCCUUCUGGGAACUGUUAACCACUGGGGUUCCUUGUCAGUUAGCUUAGAGACGAUCUGAUUGGUUGUUGCAGUGUGGGGGCGGGGCUUAUUGGGCGGCACAGAGAGGGUCGUUGAGGUUUUGUUCAAUUUUUACUUUUUUCAAAGGAAAAUGUCAUUUAGACCAGUUGUCAAUUAUAAUAAAAUGAAGAUGACAAUAAUUUGAGGCCCGAUUGAAGGAAAUCGAAGACGUCUUGAUUUCUAGACUUAAAAUCUGUUGUUUAGUUUAAUUCUUAAAGUCCCGAAGUUAUGAGGAACUGAAAAUCCAUUUGAGCCAAACUCAAAGACAGGAAAGUGAAUUGAAAGUUUUAUUUUUUAGUGGAAUAUUACUUGAUUUACUUAAAAAUUGUUUUUACUGUAAAAUUUUACUGUAAAAUUUUACUUUUAACCGUCCCUUAAUAUCUUAUUUGUCAAACAUUAAAACGUAAUUUAUUUUCUAACCAAUCACCAGCCAGCUGUCGCUCAUGUUGACACUUUAUUUAGUUAAAUAUCAUGUGUGUGUAUUUACAUCCUGUCGGGUUUGUUAAAUGUCUUUUCUUUCCCUGUUAAACCUUUUGAUUCUAAAACAUUUUCCCAUAAUUAUGUAAAAACCGAUGACGUUAAGGCUUUUAGUUUGAAAACUGAGAGCCGCUUUGAGACCCUCUGACAAAAAUGUGACGUGAAGUUUCUUAUGUUUUUAAUUAAAGUCAAUUUAAAUAAAUUCAUGAAGAGCUUUUUUAAGGAAUGUAAAGAAUGAAACUGAAGAAAAAGGGAAAUAAUCUUUUGUAUCUUUUUAGAUUUUCUGCUUGAACUGACGGCUUCAAAAUAAAAGAUCAAAACACUACCUGCCUCUUUGGAGUACUUUUAGGAAAGACUAGUACAUAUUGUAGUAAAUGAAGUACUUUCAGUAUAUAUUGUAGUGAACUGAAAUACUGUGAGUAUUUAAAUACUUCAGUAAAAAUGUAUGUGAAGUACUUCUAGUAUUCUGCAGUAAAUACUGUAUACUGAGAUAUUGUAGUAAAUAGUACUGAAGGUAUUACUCUAGUAAAUACUAGAGGUAAUGUGUACAUAGAGUACCUUGAGGGUAAACUAGUGUUGUGUGGGUUAUUAAUGAUGUUGCCGUUUGACUACAUUUAAGUUUAGUUUAACACAACUGUAAUAAUAUAAUAAUAAAUGAUCCAAACUUUAUUGAUCGUGAGUUUUCAUCAUCAGUUCAUUACUUCCUGCCGACGAUCAAUAGUUUAGUAUACUUUGACUAUAAUAACAAUAUGAAACCGUUCUACCCAGAAGAGUGAAAUAAAG